rnacentral:lncRNA from 1 species
AAAGAUCGGAGAAGGGCAAUCACUCAUUCUUGAAACCAGUUGCGGGUAAUAUGUGUUACUCAAACUCCAACUUAUAUCCUCUCAACGCAUUUGAAGAGCAAAAAAUCGCAGGGCCAUGGGUCUUCAACCGCGGAGGUUUGAGGCAGCUUUAUGGGUUGUGAACAUUGCAAAUUUUUCUCCACGUUAUUUAACCACUCUUGUUCUCCACGUUAUUUUUUUUAACUGAUGUUCUUAUUCAGCACAUCUUCCCCCUUAUCGUGAACUGUUCUUUUUAUUAUUUUUAUUUUUUUAAUUUUUAUUUUAUUUUAUAUGAUUGUGUUCGGCAGCCACUUCUCAAAUGGGAGUAGGGUUUUUAAUAACCAGAUUUUUAGAGAAUGGAAUCAUAUAUAUCUGAUUUAGUUUUGUGUUUGUCUGACAGUGUUUGGCAAGAAGGGUUUGGUGGUCUAAUAUUGUUCGGCAGUCAACUCUCGAAUGGUUUGGUGUUGUGUGAUAAAGUGUAUUAAGGUGUAUCAAGAAUAUUUUUUGUAGUUAAAUAGGGUGUACUUAGUUAAUUUUAUAUUUUAAUUUAAAUAUUAGGAUGUACUCAAUCAAUUUUAAGAAUCGUUUAACAACACCCAAAGAAAACUAUGAAUAUAAAGUUUCAACGAAAAAACUAUAGAUAUGAAGUUGUGGUGGGGGAAAAAAUUAUAAUAAUAGCAGUAAUUAUGGCACUAAUAAUGUACAUAUUGUUUUUAAUCAGUGGAGUAAUGUCAACAUAUAUCUAUAUAUAUAAAGCAAAAGGCAGAGAAUGGUGAAACAUUCAAAAUACCAGAAAAUGUUCUUGGUUAAUGCAAACAUUAAGAAUUUAAAUUAUUAAUUAAAUGAGGAUAAUAUGGUAAAUUCACACUUUUUCAUAUUUAAAAAAAUUAAAAGAAAAAGAAAAAGCAGAUAAUGAAUCCUAUUUUUAUGUAACACAACUAUCCAUUAUCUUUUU